rnacentral:rRNA from 1 species
UACGGGAGGCAGCAGUGAGGAAUAUUGGUCAAUGGACGAGAGUCUGAACCAGCCAAGUAGCGUGAAGGAUGAAGGUCUUACGGAUUGUAAACUUCUUUUAUAAGGGAAUAAAACCUCCCACGUGUGGGAGCUUGUAUGUACCUUAUGAAUAAGCAUCGGCUAACUCCGUGCCAGCAGCCGCGGUAAUACGGAGGAUGCGAGCGUUAUCCGGAUUUAUUGGGUUUAAAGGGAGCGCAGACGGGUCGUUAAGUCAGCUGUGAAAGUUUGGGGCUCAACCUUAAAAUUGCAGUUGAUACUGGCGUCCUUGAGUGCGGUUGAGGUGUGCGGAAUUCGUGGUGUAGCGGUGAAAUGCUUAGAUAUCACGAAGAACUCCGAUUGCGAAGGCA